rnacentral:misc_RNA from 1 species
GAAAUGCGAUAAGUAAUGUGAAUUGCAGAAUUCAGUGAAUCAUCGAAUCUUUGAACGCACAUUGCGCCCGGCAGCAAUCUGCCGGGCAUGCCUGUCCGAGCGUCAUUUCUGCCCUCGAGCGCGGUUCGGCCCCUAGCGGGCCGGCCGCCGCCCGGUGUUGGGGCGCUGCGGGCCCUCGUGCCCGCAGGCCCUGAAAUGAAGUGGCGGUCCCGCCGCGGCGCCCCCUGCGUAGUAGUAAAGCACCUCGCAUCGGGUCCCGGCGGGGGCCAGCCGUCGAACCUCUCUUUUGAUGGUUUGACCUCGGAUCAGGUAGGGUUACCCGCUGAACUUAAGC